AGAUGGAUCAUUGAAGGUUUGGAAUUGGUUGGUUGAUGGAAUUGGUCCUGAUAAGUUAUUGGAGGACUAAUUCAGGUGAUUCAAGAAAGUCAUGGAAGACAUGCUUGGAGGAAUAAGGCCUGAAAGAUGAUUGUUUGAGAGAUCAACAGUUUCUGACAGAUGUAGGCUUCCAAUCUUGUCAGGAAUCUUUCCAGUCAAUUGAUCCCGAGAUAAAUUCGAAGUACCCAAGCAUGUGAGCUUAGUGGGAUGUCUCCCUUUAAAUUAUUUCAUGUCUUUGCAGUAAGGAUUUCAUGUUCCUGUUGUGUGUGGACGGAUAAUAAGAAAGAAAUGUCAAAUAAUGAGCGAGCAUUAUCUAUAUCAGUUCAUUAGAUGCUAGGAGCUCUCUAUCUUCUACUCCUAUCUAGUUAAAGUGAUGUUUUUCAGCUUUCACAAUUCAUCUAACUGUUUUUUUUUUUUAUGUAUGAUUUACUUGUCAUCAUUUUUCGUGUCUGACAAAGUCAUACAGUUGGCCAUUUUCCUUGCAGCUAUAAUAAUUUUAUUUCAUAUUGGCCAGCUGAGCUGUAUACGGCUGUUCCAGGCUGACCAUUCUUUCCUAGGGGAUUUUCAUGGAAUGAAGGUUUUCAUCAACUGUCAAUCUGGUCAGGUCUAAUUUCCAGUUACAUUAUGGAGUUACUAUAUGUGCUGUUGUCAGGCUAACCAAACAUGUUUUUGCAGGCAUGAGCAGGCGUUGGGAUAUCCGAAUAUGUGUGGAUAUUUUUGGCCACUGGUUAGAUUUAAUGAACAUUGAUGGACGGAUUCCACGUGAGCAAAUUUUGGGUUCUGAAGCUCUAAGGUAUUGUGAAUGUAUUGUUCAUGUUUUUUAAUUGAAUUUUAACCUUAGAGCUUGGCUGGCUUCUUGAAAAAAAUCUUAAAAUUAUUUGCCAGAUUCAUCCUUGAAGAAAUUCUGCAGUGUCUUUUCUGCUGUAAUUGCAACAAGGUUCCAGAGGAAUUUGUUGUUCAGCGCCGAACCAAUGGAAAUCCCCCCACCCUAUUUUUGUGAAUGACUUCAGCUCUGCAAGUCAUAAGUAGAUGUGUAAUUCGAAGAGACCAACACCCAUCCUUCUAAAUGUCAAGAAAAUUCUUCUGAUUUAGUGGGAAGUCAUCAUCCUUAAAGGGAGAGAGAUGACCAGCUACUGUUGGCACGGGAGACAUGAUAAAGCAACUCCUGACCUUGCAAUCCUUCACAAAAGCAUCAAUCACA